rnacentral:pre_miRNA from 11 species
UUUUAUUACAGGAUGUGAAAGACCCCCAGUGUGGGGAGACCCUCACUCAAGUCUCAGGAUAAGCUGACACCCCAAUAAUUCAAGAGAGACC